rnacentral:rRNA from 1 species
UACGUAGGCAGCAAGCGUUGUUCGGAGUUACUGGGCGUAAAGGGUGUGUAGGCGGUUCUUUAAGUUUGCUGUGAAAUCUCCCGGCUUAACCGGGAGGGUGCGGUGAAUACUGAGGGACUAGAGUACGGGAGAGGAAAGCGGAAUUCCUGGUGUAGCGGUGAAAUGCGUAGAUAUCAGGAGGAACACCGGUGGUGUAGACGGCUUUCUGGACCGACACUGACGCUGAGACACGAAAGCGUGGGUAGCAAACAGG